UCCGAGUUGACCCCGGCAGUCUCCCAUGAGUCCCCGGCACUACCCGCUGGCAACAUAGGACAAGGGUUGCGCUCGUUGCGGGACUUAACCCAACAUCUUACGACACGAGCUGACGACAACCAUGCACCACCUGUACACCAGCCCCGAAGGGAAACUACAUCUCUGCAGCGAUCCAGUGUAUGUCAAGCCUUGGUAAGGUUCUUCGCGUUGCAUCGAAUUAAUCCGCAUGCUCCGCCGCUUGUGCGGGCCCCCGUCAAUUCCUUUGAGUUUUAGCCUUGCGGCCGUACUCCCCAGGCGGGGCACUUAAUGCGUUAGCUACGGCGCGGAAAACGAGGAACGCUCCCCACACCUAGUGCCCAACGUUUACGGCAUGGACUAC
rnacentral:misc_RNA from 1 species